rnacentral:SRP_RNA from 1 species
GCAAGCCGCAUCGGUCCCCUCGCAAUGAUACGCUGUGAACCCCGCCAGGCCCGGAAGGGAGCAACGGUAACAGCGGACUCGUGUGCCGGGGUGUGGCUGGUGCGGUGAGCCGCCCAUU